CCUUGUACACACCGCCCGUCACACCAUGGGAGCUGGUUUUACCUUAAGACGGUGCGCUAACCGCAAGGAGGCAGCCGGCCACGGUAAGGUCAGCGACUGGGGUG
rnacentral:rRNA from 1 species